AAACAUGAGAGUUUGAUCCUGGCUCAGAACGAACGCUGGCGGCACGCCUAACACAUGCAAGUCGAACGAGAUCAUAUCUUCGGAUAUGGUCUAGUGGCGGACGGGUGAGUAACGCGUGGGUAUCUGCCUCAAGGUGGGGGAUAACUGUUGGAAACGACAGCUAAUACCGCAUGAUCCCGUAAGGGUAAAGAUUUAUCGCCUUGAGAGGAGCCCGCGUCGGAUUAGGUAGUUGGUAGGG
rnacentral:rRNA from 1 species